AUGGAGAGAGGAUCAGCACCCAACCCCGCAUCUAGAGGGCUGAGCCUUUCUGCUGGUCUUUCAGCCCAGCAGUGGCCUUCAAGGCUGAGCAGACGCUUGCUGAAACCCACCCACCCGCCCACGAGAGUCCAGAAAUCGAGGCCAGAACUUCACAUUCUGGCACUUUACCUCUUGUGCCUUCCCCUUCCCCCUCAAACGGCCUGGCUGUCCCUUCUCCCGUCCAGCUGGCCCCGUCUGGUCUGCAUUUGUGAGCACCCAGACGACCUCCCUCUCCUGCCGGCAAGGAGACCCUUUAGGGCCACAAUCCCUGGCAGUCCCUGUGCCCACACUGCCUCCCCAAGACAGACACAUUUUAAAGUUGGAGGAAAAGAGCUUCCGGGGGGCUGCGUGCUCCCCGCUAAAGAAAGGCGAGGGAGAAGAGGUCCCCUUAGCACGGACUCUCUGGCCAGAGAGCUCAGCUCUGCCGAGUUAAGGGCAGGGUCAGUUUACCGACGCGAUUCAUGGGGAGGCGGUCUGUACAUACGCUGCUUGUCCUCGCCCCCCAGCCCAAAGCCGCCGACCGGCGCCCCGCUCCGAGGGAGCCCGCCCAGGACAGAUGGCAGCCACGCGCAGUCUCGGUGUGAGGUGAUCCCACGGCACGGGAAAGGGUGGGCGUGUGCACACGUGCGUGUGUUUGGAGUGGGAAGGGAGGAUGGGCAGCUGUGGCUGGCAUGCAAACAGGAUGUCAGGGCACAACCCAGCAGAUCCCAUGCAAGGGCUCAGCUGGGUGGCUCCAGCCUCAAUGGGCUGGUUUGUGGCUGUUGCGUUCCCAGCUGCAGCUCCGCUCCUCCCCUCCCCGUCCAGGCCCAGGGUGUCAUGGCAAGGACCAGGCUCUUAUUGCAGGGGUUUAAAAGGGUUGCUUUCCAGCCAAGCAGCCCAAUGGACUUAGGCCCUGACUCUGUGUGUGGGGAGAUGGAGGGUGGAACAGAAGGAGGGAGAGGAUGGGGAAGUGGGCCACGCUAA
rnacentral:lncRNA from 1 species